AGUGAACGCUGGCGGUAGGCCUAACACAUGCAAGUCGAACGGCAGCACAGUAAGAGCUUGCUCUUACGGGUGGCGAGUGGCGGACGGGUGAGGAAUACAUCGGAAUCUACUUUUUCGUGGGGGAUAACGUAGGGAAACUUACGCUAAUACCACAUACGACCUACGGGUGAAAGCAGGGGAUCUUCGGACCUUGCGCGAUUGAAUGAGCCGAUGUCGGAUUAGCUAGUUGGCGGGGUAAAGGCCCACCAAGGCGACGAUCCGUAGCUGGUCUGAGAGGAUGAUCAGCCACACUGGAACUGAGACACGGUCCAGACUCCUACGGGAGGCAGCAGUGGGGAAUAUUGGACAAUGGGCGCAAUCCUGAUCCAGCCAUACCGCGUGGGUGAAGAAGGCCUUCGGGUUGUAAAGCCCUUUUGUUGGGAAAGAAAAGCAGCAGGUUAAUACCCCGCUGUUCUGACGGUACCCAAAGAAUAAGCACCGGCUAACUUCGUG
rnacentral:rRNA from 1 species